AUGCUUGCUUCAACAGCACAUAUACUAAAAAAAUUUGGAACAGUUCCGAGAUUAAUAUAGUCCCUGUGUAAAUAUGACAUGCAAAUUUCUGAAGUGUUUCAUAUUUUU
rnacentral:snRNA from 1 species